AUGGAGCCCAUCCCUCUCCUGACGCCGUACAAGAUGGGCCAGCUCAACCUCGCCCACCGGAUCGUCCUGGCCCCGCUCACCCGCCAGCGCUCCUACGGCAACGUGCCGCAGCCGCACGCCGCCUUGUACUACUCCCAGCGCGCCUCCGCCGGCGGGUUGCUCAUCACCGAGGCCACCGGGGUCUCCGACACGGCCCAGGGGUACCGCGAUACACCGGGCGUCUGGACGGCGGAGCACGUCGAGGCAUGGAAGCCAAUUGUCGAUGCAGUGCACGCCAAGGGCGCGCUCAUCUUCUGCCAGAUCUGGCACGUCGGCCGCGUGUCCACCUAUGAGUACCAGCCCGGCGGUGCCGCGCCGCUGUCGUGCACGGACAAGGGGGUGGGCCCGCAAAUGAGCUAUGACGGGAGGCUGGAGGAGUUCGCGCCGCCGAGGAGGCUCAAGGUGGAGGAGAUACCGGCCAUCGUCGACGACUUCAGGAAGGCGGCCAGGAACGCCAUCGACGCUGGUUUUGACGGUGUGGAGAUCCACGGGGCGAAUGGGUACCUAAUUGAGCAGUUCCUCAAGGACAGUGCGAAUGACCGCACCGACGAGUAUGGUGGCAGCAUCGAGAACCGGUGUCGCUUUGCUCUCGAGGUGGUGGAUGCCGUCGUGAAGGAGGUCGGUGGCCACCGUGUGGGCAUCCGCCUCUCCCCCUUCACCGACUACAUGGACUGCCACGACUCUGACCCCCACGCCCUCGCGCUCCACAUGUCCACCAAACUCAACAACUACAACAUCAUCUAUCUCCACAUGGUCGAGCUGAGGAUGGCCAUCGUUGAUGGACGAAGGGUGGUCCCGAAGCGCUUGCUGCCAUACAGGGAGGCGUUCAAGGGUACAUUUAUGGCCAAUGGCGGGUACGACCGCGAGGAAGGGGGCAAGGUGGUCGCUGAUGGGUACACUGAUUUGGUCUCCUUCGGGCGAUCGUUCUUGGCGAAUCCAGACCUGCCAAAGAGGUUUGAGAUCGGCGCAGAGCUGAACAAGUAUGAUAGGAUGACCUUCUACAUCUCUGACCCCGUCAUCGGCUACACUGACUACCCCUUCCUUGAUUAA
rnacentral:rRNA from 1 species